rnacentral:rRNA from 1 species
UGGGAAUUUUGGACAAUGGACGCAAGUCUGAUCCAGCCAUGCCGCGUGCGGGAAGAAGGCCUUCGGGUUGUAAACCGCUUUUGUCAGGGAAGAAACGAGUUUCUCUAAUACAGAGACUUAAUGACGGUACCUGAAGAAUAAGCACCGGCUAACUACGUGCCAGCAGCCGCGGUAAUACGUAAGGUGCAAGCGUUAAUCGGAAUUACUGGGCGUAAAGCGUGCGCAGGCGGUUAUGCAAGACAGAGGUGAAAUCCCCGGGCUCAACCUGGGAACUGCCUUUGUGACUGCAUAGCUAGAGUACGGUAGAGGGGGAUGGAAUUCCGCGUGUAGCAGUGAAAUGCGUGGAUAUGCGGAGGAACACCGAUGGCGAAGGCAAUCCCCUGGACCUGUACUGACGCUCAUGCACGAAAGCGUGGGGAGCAAACA